CCUACGGGUGGCAGCAGUGAGGAAUAUUGGUCAAUGGACGCAAGUCUGAACCAGCCAUGCCGCGUGCAGGAUGACGGCCCUAUGAGUUGUAAACUGCUUUUGUACGAGGGUAAACCUCGAUACGUGUAUCGUUUUGAAUGUACCGUACGAACAAGGAUCGGCCAACCCCGUGCCAGCAGCCGCGGUAAUACGGAGGGGCCGAUCGUUACGCGGAUUUAUUGGGUUUAAGGGGUGCGUAGGCGGUUUGAUGAGUUAGAGGUGAAAUGUCGGGGAUCAACCCCGGAAUUGCCUCUAAUACUGGUGGACUAGAGAAUAGUAGCGGGGGGCAGAAUGUAAGGUGUAGCGGUGAAAUGCGUAGAGAU
rnacentral:rRNA from 1 species